rnacentral:rRNA from 1 species
AUUGAACGCUGGCGGCAUGCUUUACACAUGCAAGUCGAACGGUAACAGGGUGCUUGCACCGCUGACGAGUGGCGAACGGGUGAGUAAUGCGUCGGAACGUGCCGAGUAGUGGGGGAUAACGCAGCGAAAGUUGUGCUAAUACCGCAUACGUACUGAGGUAGAAAGUGGGGGACCUUCGGGCCUCACGCUAUUCGAGCGGCCGACGUCUGAUUAGCUAGUAGGUGAGGUAAAGGCUCACCUAGGCGACGAUCAGUAGCGGGUCUGAGAGGAUGAUCCGCCACACUGGGACUGAGACACGGCCCAAACUCCUACGGGAGGCAGCAGUGGGGAAUUUUGGACAAUGGGCGAAAGCCUGAUCCAGCCAUGCCGCGUGUCUGAAGAAGGCCUUCGGGUUGUAAAGGACUUUUGUCAGGGAGGAAAUCCCUAGCGUUAAUACCGCUGGGGGAUGACAGUACCUGAAGAAUAAGCACCGGCUAACUACGUGCCAGCAGCCGCAGUAAAAC